rnacentral:rRNA from 1 species
UACGUAGGGUGCAAGCGUUGUCCGGAAUUAUUGGGCGUAAAGAGCUCGUAGGCGGUCUGUCGCGUCGGCUGUGAAAUCCCGAGGCUCAACCUCGGGUCUGCAGUCGAUACGGGCAAACUGGAGUGUUGCAGGGGAGACUGGAAUUCCUGGUGUAGCGGUGAAAUGCGCAGAUAUCAGGAGGAACACCGGUGGCGAAGGCGGGUCUCUGGGCCUUACCUGACGCUGAGGAGCGAAAGCGUGGGUAGCGAACAGG